AGAGUUUGAUCCUGGCUCAGAAUCAACGCUGGCGGCGUGCCUCAGACAUGCAAGUCGAACGAUUAAAGCUCUCUUCGGAGAGUGUAUAGAGUGGCGCACGGGUGAGUAACACGUAAGUAAUCUACCUUUGAGUGGGGAAUAACGUUCGGAAACGAACGCUAAUACCGCAUAAUGCAGCGGCACCGCAAGGUGACAGUUGUUAAAGGAGCAAUCCGCUUAAAGAGGAGCUUGCGGCAGAUUAGCUAGUUGGUAAGGUAAUGGCUUACCAAGGCUACGAUCUGUAACCGGUCUUAGAGGACGGUCGGUCACACUGACACUGAAUAACGGGUCAGACUCCUACGGGAGGCAGCAGUCGGGAAUUUUGGGCAAUGGGCGAAAGCCUGACCCAGCAACGCCGCGUGAAGGAUGAAGUAUUUCGGUAUGUAAACUUCGAAAGAAUAGGAAGAAUAAAUGACGGUACUAUUUAUAAGGUCCGGCUAACUACGUGCCAGCAGCCGCGGUAAUACGUAGGGACCAAGCGUUGUUCGGAUUUACUGGGCGUAAAGGGCGCGUAGGCGGCUCUGUAAGUCACUUGUGAAAUCUCUGAGCUUAACUCAGAACGGCCAAGUGAUACUGCAGAGCUAGAGUGUAGAAGGGGCAAUCGGAAUUCUUGGUGUAGCGGUGAAAUGCGUAGAUAUCAAGAGGAACACCUGAGGUGAAGACGGGUUGCUGGUCUAACACUGACGCUGAGGCGCGAAAGCCAGGGGAGCAAACGGGAUUAGAUACCCCGGUAGUCCUGGCCCUAAACGGUGAAUACUUGGUGUCUGGAACUAUUAAGUUCUGGGUGCCGUCGCUAACGUUUUAAGUAUUCCGCCUGGGGAGUACGCUCGCAAGAGUGAAACUCAAAGGAAUUGACGG
rnacentral:rRNA from 1 species